rnacentral:lncRNA from 1 species
GAUAAAAAAUAUCAUAAGAUACGGGAGGCGUAGCAGAUGGAAUAGUGGAUGUAGUCAAAGUUGCAUGAGAGCGCAACCUUGCGGAUUUGUUUACCAAGACUCUAGUGGUUAGGAGUUUUGAGAAACAUGUAGAGGCUAUGAGAAUGUGAAAUAUGAAUAAUCUACUUCACUAGAGCAAGUGAGAGACUAUUGGGAUCUGGUGUCUUUAGUGUAGUUACAUUGUCCGUAUACUUGUAAUUUUUUCAACAAAUUGGUC